UGGUCUAGUGGUGAAGGCACCAGGCUAGAAACCAGGAGAGGGUGAGUUCUAGUCUCAC
rfam:Ophiophagus hannah scaffold36296.1, whole genome shotgun sequence.